UAUGACCAGCAGGUCAAGUACUGUUGUCCACAAGAGACUUUUUUUAACUUCUUGUGGAAUCAGAGCCGAUAAUGAAGAAAGUCUCGGAUAAUGCUUCCAGUCAAACAAUGGUGGUGGAUGACUGCCAGCAGGAACCCACAGGAACUGCAUGUCUUCUGUCUUCAGCAGCAGAUCAGGCCAUCCUGUUGCAUAAAUUACCCCUGCAGCCAUCCCACUGGUGGUGGGCAGAAAAUCUGUCCCACAGAGGUAGCAGUCCGUAAACGCACCUUUUAGAGCUGAGCUAAACAAGAUUUGGGAGUGACUGAUCUGGAAUGAAAGGGUUACGUGAGGGCUGAGAUUAGAAUAAGCCAAGAGGUAAGGGAAGGGCUGGAGGAGGUGGUGGACAUAGUACAGUGGUGUUGUAAACACUGAACAAAACCUUUAAAGAAGGCAGUCUUCAAGGCCACAACACUGGGCGACUUCAUCCUGGGCUGACUUCAUCACAUCCUGUGUAUCAAUUGUAACUGUAAAAUUACCAAACUUACCUCUCUUCUUGGGGGAAGGAAAGAAUUUUCUUCAAAUAUGAUCUGAAAGACCUUUACUCUGCUUGGAAUGCAUGUAACUACCUGAAUACAUGUGAAAGUCAUGACUCAUGUCAGGGUCUCCUGUGUGAUGAAUUCCUCUACUUAGUGGUUGCCUCAUUUGUUGUUUGCAGACUGCUUUUCAAACAGUGAAUGCCGAAGAGGAGGAGGAGGAGGAUUAUGCCUGUGUUGAGUUGUCUUCAAAUUACCUUGUUGUUUUUGACUUCUGUCUUUUUAGAAGAUGCAAACUUCACAAACAGCUUGCAUUUGACUCUCCAACCUCCUAUGAUCUGUAUCUUAGAUAAAACAGGCUUGCAGACAUCUGUCAUUGCUGAUUGUCUCCAUUUACUGACACUUAGCACUUGGACUCCAACAGAGCCUAUCUUAAAUCGCUGUGUCAAAAAUAAGAGCUCUUAUUUUCCUCUAUUUUUUUUUCCUACCUGUAUUGUUUUCUUUUUGUCUCAUUGUUUUGCGCAUUUUCCCUACUCAUCUCACUAGGAAUUUUUGCAUCUCACAUGCUUGGUUAUUAAUAUCACUCUCAUGUUUGUGGCUCAUUGUUUUUACUGAGUUUCUUGCUUUCUGCUCUUUUUAUCUCUACUUUCCAGAGUCUGUGUUCAUACUAAACCAGUGGUUAGGCUGUCAAAACAAGAGUUAGGAGAUUUUUCUCCUCGGACCUAUUUUGUGUUCUUAGGCCCAUCAUUUGACUCCAAAGUCCAAGGAUCAUCCUGCCAAAGAUGAAUUCUGGAGGUCUGGAGCAAUCAUUUUCUGUUCUGAAGUCUGCAGUCUGCUUUCUUUAGAUGGACUAGCUGGAGAAGCAGUCCUCCUUUAUUUUCAGCAUGAUAUAUAUCUUUUGAGAAACAUUGUCCCAGGAAAACUUUAGUUUAAGGGCCAGACAAAUCUGUUGUUGCCUUGUUUCACCUUUGCUGGCAUGUAACUUCAGGGUGGUGUGAAAUGUAAGGGCUUGCUGUAUUCCUGGUGUGGAUGAGGCUCAGACUAAUCUCCUUUUUUCACAGUCCUUAACAGAGCAAAUAAACUUUGGGGAACACAAAGUGUGA